rnacentral:sRNA from 1 species
GGCGGUCGCAUGCAGCUCCUAUGAGGCCCCUGCCGCCGGUCGGCGAUGUCCGGCUGGAGCUGUCGCCUCCGCCGCCGCUGCUGCCGGUGCCGGUUGUGAGCGGGUCUCCAGUCGGCUCCUCCGGGCGUCUCAUGGCCUCUAGCAGCUCCCUGGUGCCCGACCGGCUGCGCCUGCCGCUCUGCUUCCUGGGUGUCUUUGUCUGCUAUUUUUACUAUGGGAUCCUGCAGGAAAAGAUAACAAGAGGAAAGUAUGGGGAAGGAGCCAAGCAGGAGACGUUCACCUUUGCCUUAACUUUGGUCUUCAUUCAAUGUGUGAUCAAUGCUGUGUUUGCCAAGAUCUUGAUCCAGUUUUUUGACACUGCCAGGGUGGAUCGUACCCGGAGCUGGCUCUAUGCUGCCUGUUCUAUCUCCUAUCUGGGUGCCAUGGUCUCCAGCAACUCAGCACUACAGUUUGUCAACUACCCAACUCAGGUGAAACCUCAGGGUGGGACGAUGGUUGGCUCAGAUAUCAUUUGAAAAGGACUAAGAGUUCUUCCCUCAGAUCUGUGAGUUUAAAAAAAAAAAAAAAGAUAACGGUCCUCUAAGACAUUAGGAGUGUAUAGAACCAUAGAACUUAGGUUUAGUGGUGGUGGGUUGGGCCAUGAUAGGGCUGCUUUCUGAGGCUGAGGUCUCUGGUGCAGGCCCUGUGCUUACUCAUCUUAAUCAGUGCGGUACCUAGCAUAGUACCUGACACAUCACAGAUGCUCAGAAAUUAUUUGCUGGAUUUAAUUUCAGGUCCUUGGUAAAUCCUGCAAGCCAAUCCC